rnacentral:misc_RNA from 1 species
GAUGAAGAACGUAGCGAAAUGCGAUACUUGGUGUGAAUUGCAGAAUCCCGUGAACCAUCGAGUCUUUGAACGCAAGUUGCGCCCGAAGCCAUUAGGCCGAGGGCACGCCUGCCUGGGCGUCACACGUCGUUGCCCCCCCAUCUACUCCUUCGGGAUUGCGGGGGGCGGAUGAUGGCCUCCCGUGCGCCUCGUCGCGCGGUUGGCAUAAAUGCCAAGUCCUCGGCGACGCACGCCACGACAAUCGGUGGUUGCGAAACCUCGGUUGCCCGUCGUGUGCGGUCGUCGCGCAUCGAGGGCUCGAAAAAAUUGCCGGGCUCCGGCUCGGCUUUCAACGCGACCCCAGGUCAGGCGGGGUUACCCGCUGAAUUUAAGCAUAUCAAUAAGGAGGA